UGUGCUCUGCCUGCGCCCGGGGUGCUGCAGGGAGCAGCGGGGCAGAGAGGUCAGGUCCCACCUAAAGUGCUGGGCCCGCAGUCUUUAGCUACACAGGGAGGAUUUCUGUGCAUUAUUUUAGGAUGAUCAGGCAUUGGAAUAAAUUGCCCAGGGAAGUGGUGGUAACACCAACCGUGGAUGUGUUCAGGAGGCACCUGGAUGUGGCACUGAUGUGAUUUAGGAGCGACAGUGGCGCUCUGAUGCUCGGACUGACGGCUGAUGCUCUGAUCUAGACGGUCUUUUCCAACCUUCAUGAUCCUAUACUUCUGUAAUUGCAGUGUAUGGGCAUUCUUUUCCUCUUCCCAGAGCUGUCUGGGGCAUGGCAUCAGCAGCCCCUAUGUACUGCAUGCCCUUGCACUGUGGCUGUGUUGUAUGGUGCUGUGCUGUGUGCCAGCUGAGUGCUUAUGAACAGCCUCCUUGUGAGCUGAACACCAAACAAUGGACAUCAAAAGGGACAGCUAAUUUUGGGUGCCCAACUGAAGACUUCAGGGUCCCACAGUUCCACAGUGGGGUCUGCUGUAUAUUGUGUAGAGUUUCCUUAAUUCUGAGCAAUGCCUCUUUGCAGGUGUCUGCCCCUGAAACUUUUGUGACUUCAGAGAAUAGAUAUUCUAUUUCAGAGAACAGACUUAACAAAGGAGAAAAAUUCACUGGCGAUCUUCAGAAAUUGGGCUCAAGUGACUUCCUCACACCAAAAGAAGGUUAUAGAUUAUAAUGUGUUCUAUCUUUACCAUCAGUGACAUCCAUUCCUUCUAUAUCUUCGAGGCUUUGUUGCAACAAAGCAGGCAAAGUUUUGAGGAGAAAACUGACUUAUUGACUACAUUCAUGUUGAAAUUGAGGGUGCUACAUUUCUUAUCUUUGGAAAUACAAGAUACAAAUCACUUAAUUUAGUUGCAUUAUUUAAAGAUAAUUGCAUUGAAGGAUACUACUGUAAAAGAAGAUGCAAGUAGAAAACAAUCCCAUCACAAAGAAAGAUGUCCAGGAAAGCACAAUAUAACUCUUGCAGUUACGAGGGAGAAGCUGAUGAAGAGGAACACACCUGUUUUUCAAUAAUAACAACAUGUUUAUUGUUCUGACACCUGAGACAACUCCAAAACUCUAAAAGGUACUGUCCUAAGGAAGAGCUUUGACUGUGGAAUCACCAACGCCUGGACAUGCUGUGGUAUCUCAUAAGGGGCUUCUCCCAAUGGAGAGGGGAAAAACUAGAAUAGGGAAAACCUGUAAGAACUGGAAAGGAUCAGUGGCAAAUGUUACAGAGGAGAAUCAUCCUACAAGUUUCACAUACUAUAAAUGUUCAGAUUUGCUACAUCGGGAGUCCUGCCGGAACAUCUGAUUUUCAGCUUUGUAUCUGUUUCCACAGUAAAACACCAAAACUUCAGCUUACAUUUUCACCUGCACAAUCAUCUAAUAGAUACACUUUCCAUCUACCCUAUAAUUUUUUCUCUUUCUCUGUUCCUCUCUUGGAACUUGUUCAGACCUAUUCUCUAGCCAAAAGUGGGUGGGUUUCUUUCCCUUCAGUGUACUCCUCUUUGCAUUUCUUUUUGCUUUCUCGCCACCUUUCUAUGUGUCAGCCUUGUUCCAUUUCUUCUCCCCGGUGGCAUUCAGAACUCCUGCUACUUUCGUACACUCUCACCAUUUUAAGCUGCUUUCCCACAUGCUGCCUUUCACGGAACACCUUCCAUCCACUGAUUUCCAAAGCACAGAUGCUUGUUCGCUUUCCAUGAUGGCAACAACAGCUCUAAAGGAAACAUAUCGUUUCCCCUCCUGCAAUUCAUGCGCAAAUGCCUGGCAUGUGCUGCCUGGAGAAAGCCUUUCAACUUUGAAUUUCCUUGCUUUUGUGGAAUCUGUGAAAAAGUCUGAUAAAUUACAGCUUUGGCAGUUAUUUCAAAUAACUUUAUUUGCAGCCAGCUGAGGCAAAAUCUGUCAAUGGUGCCAUCCCCGUGUUCUUUCAAAGGUUGUUGGUGUUUCAUGAGGGAGCUCAAAGUCAAGCUGGUUCAAAGGGAGGCUCCCAUUUCAUUUUUUUCCAAGAAGGGUAGCUUACACGUUCUAAUGGUGACAGGACUGUCUUACAAGACAUAGGAGCUGAGUUCUAGUUGAGGCCAUGAGUCUCUUCCAGUACAUGUGUUUUGUCACUUUAUCUCUCACCUGAUGACUGCUCAUCUGUGAAACAGCUGUAGUACUCACUGGUAGCUGCCGUAUUAGUUAAAUACAAACAAGAAGACCCCAACUAAUCAAGGUGUCAAGGUUUUGGAGUCGGCCUUGGACCUGGUUUUAGUGUUGGCAGUUUGGGCAAGGCCUGUGAACCUCGGUCUGCAGCUCCUCUCCCCAGGGCUCAAGAGACACCAGCUGGGACACACAGCGUGCAGCAGGCAACUUCUCACAUUGUCCCGAGGGCCAAGAGGAAGAAAUAAUACAGAGCCUUUGCUUUGCAGGCAACUGGUGUCUGAGCUUGGAGGAUUGGUGGUUCACCUUGGGACCUUCAGUGAUACUCAGAAUAAACACCAGCAUGGCAAGGUUUGCCAUGUGAGUGAGCAGGACUUCAGUGCACACUAAUUGAAAUAAGCAUGGUAUUCCUGACCCUCUACUCCCAGAAGCUCUCCAAAGCUGAAGUCUUGUGGGAAGCCUUUGCUGAGCCAUCUGGGUGGAUGGAAGCUGUAUGUGGCUGUCUCCCAUUACACCCUCUGGUGACCUGAAAACGAGUGGUGAGAACAUGUCAAUUCUGCUUUAACCAGUAGCACUGUGAAAAGAAAUCGAUAACCACACUUGACUUCAAGAAUCUUGGAUGGAGAAGGACUAUCAUCUUUUAAGGCAAAAGAUCUUGCCUGUGUAGAGAAGGAUUCUCAGGACUGUCUUUGAGCAAAAUCUACUUAUGGUAAGAGAUAUAGAUUAUUAUCGUUAAUGUUACAUGCAUGAUUUAAUUAGGAAAAGCCACACAGUUCAUGAAAACAAAAUAUUUCCAGCUAAUAGUAUUACUAAUUACCUAAAAGAUCAUGAAUCAAAACAAAUUUAAUAAGAUGCAGGAGAAAAGGCUGACAAGAAUCUCAUGAAUUUCAGCAAAGACAUGUGAAAUCCUGCAUGCAGAUCAGAACAAUAUUUGUAGUAACAAAGCUGGGGAAGCAGCUAAAAAGCAGCUUUGCAGGGAAGGCCCUGGGGACCCUGAUAUUCAACAACCUGAACAUGAGCCAGCAGUGCAGCCUUGCAGCAAAGAUGGCCGGGGUGCAUUAGGAAGAGCACUGCUGGCAGGUUAAUGGAUGUGAUCCUUCCUCUCUACUCAGCCCUGGUGAGACUCACCUGGACUGCUGGGUCAAGGUCUGAGCUCCACCAUGUCACAGAGACAUGGACACACUGGAACAAGGACAGUGGAAGGCCAUGGAGAUGAUACCGGGACUGAAGCAUCUGGGUUUGAGAGGCUGAGAGAUUUGGGAUUGUUUAGCAAGGAGAAGAGAAGGCUCAGGGAAGAUAUGAUCAAUGUGUAUAAGUACCGGGAUAUGGAGAGACAAGUAGAAAAGAUAGAACCAGGCCUUUUUCAGUGAUAGGAGAAGAGGCACAUGGGCACAAAUCGAAGUACACCAAAUUCCAUGUAAACAUAAGAAAAAGGUUGGGUUUUUUUACUAUGAAUGUGGUCAAACGCUGGAAGAGGCAGCCCAGAGGUGCUAUGGAGCCUUCAUAGUUACUCAAAACAUGACUGGACACAGAACCAACCUGCUCUGCUUUGAGCAGGGAGGUUGGACUGUGUGAUCUCCAGAUGUCCCUUCCAAUCCCAGCAAUUCUUUGAUUUGCUAAAUACGUGCCCCAUUCCAGUCCUGAAUAUAUCUCUGUUAUGCAUGCCCAAGAUGCGUUUGGAUUUUUUGACAGACUUUUCACCACAUCAAUGUGAAGGCAUUGCCAUUGUAUAUUAGGAUGUGUAAAAUCAAUGUAAAUAUAACUGAGAAGAUCAAGAGAUUGAAUCACAUGUCGUGUAGGAUUCUGGGGGAUGCUGGCAGGAAAACAAGCAUUGCAGCAGAAGAGUAAUUGUCAAAUAACGACAUGUCAAAGCUCAACUUUUACCAACUCUAAAUCAUUUAGUAUAGAUCAGUGUAGUUACCUUGACAUAUUUCUUUGGGUCCUGGAAAGAAAUGAAUAACCUGCUGUAUCUUGUAUAUGCAAUGCAGGGGGUAAUUUGGACAAAAUGAUGUAAUGUUUUUGAAAACAUGACAAGAAAAUUAAGGAUGAAGAAACUCCAGAAUGACUUUAUGAAUGAAAAGAACCUGCAAUUGCUUUCCAUCCCUUGACAGACGUUACUUAAACUGACAUACUAUAUCAUGCAACAAAGCUUACAGGGGAAAUAUGAGAUUAUGAGAAAAUGUAUAAACCACUAUCAUUAUUGUAAAAAAUUCUCAGAGAGACAAGAAAAAGUAGGGAUACUUUUUAGGAGGAACUUGAUGUAGAGUAUUGUACCAGUAUUUUCAGAAUUAGCAAAAUUAAUCUAUUAAAAAAAUUAGGUUAAAAAGAAGUGAGAACUUUCUGCUGUAUCCCAAUCCCACACAAUCGUUCCCCCUCUUCUCCUGCCAUUGUAGCAUCUGGGAAACCUGCCUAUUUUUUAAAGUAAAAUCAAGAAGAUUCUCUCCUGCCUUCUUCUGUAUGGAGAAGUAACAUAAGCAGAAGGGGAGGAAACAGUCAUUGUCAAGAAAUGGUACAUGAAGAAAUGGAUAUGCCUUGGCUUUAGACAUUCUCAGUUCACCUUACAGGGAGGUUUACAGCUGUUGCAGAGAGUACAAGUCUCCACUCCUCACUGGUUUUGCUUCUGACAUUGACAGUUUCCUACUUUUGAUGUGUGUAAAAAAACAGGGGCACAGCAUACACAGAGUUAGGAGGGUGCCUCAGUACCUCAGACCUUCUCCAAAGCAGCCUUUGGACAUCAGCAUUUUAGGUGUCAGCCACAAUGAAAGAAGAAACCCUCAAGAAAGUAGGGCUUAGUAUAUACUUUUACCAACCUGUGUGACAGAGCAAAUAGAGCACCAUUUUGGACCAAAUGAAAUUUUAAAAAAUUCACAAAAUCUCUUUUUAAAAUAUUGAUUCCAUUUUGAGGUAGAGACCUUAGCUGUAAUGAAGCUGCAAACCCAUAGUUUGUCACAGCCAAGUUCAAGUCUGGUAUAAUGUGUUUUUCGCUCAUCCAUAGGUCCUUUAUUUUUCUCUACCUGAUUUUUGGCAUUGCAUCCAAUAUGAAAGCAUGACAGAAGAGUCACUGAAUAACCAGAGUGGAUAGACAGAGUGUAGCAGUAGACAGAUGAUAAAGAUUUUUCCCCACAGUCAAUACUAGUGUCCGGGACCUAUUUUUUAUUAAUUUGUUUUUUAAUGCAUUGCUACCUUAUAAAAGGGUGAAUAUUGAUUGAUUUUUAAUAGCAUGGAUGUUCUCUUGUGCUAAAGACUUCUUCUUGGUUACUUUUGUUCUAAAGAACAUGAGAAAAUAAGCAAGAAACAUAAAGGCAUUUUAACAGGACACUUGGAAGUAUUUAACAAAGAAUCAUAGAAAAAGGUUAACUUUUCUUUCUGUUUAUCAAAUUAUGUGAGGAUUCAGGCCCAAAAAGAGCAAUUAUUAUUAAUAAUUUAAUAAGUUAAAUAAAGUUUCUCCCUUUUUGCCAGAAGUUUCAAAAAACAUUAACAGUGUUAAAGGACUGUCUUGCCAUUAAUUCAUACAGAUUUGACACUGAUACCCUAAAGCAGCACCAAAAAAAAAAUUCAUCAAUAUUAAAAUAUCUCCAAACAUUUACAGAUAUUUGUAUUUGGAAAGCCGCCACUACUCCCAUUUCAACUGCCAUACCGAGUCUGCUUUGCAAAAGCUACCUCUUGACAUUUUGCAGAACAGCCUCUAAUCGUCUAAGGAAGCUCUGGAUUGAGAUUAGUAUCCACAGCAGAAAGGAAUCUACAGACACUACUGUGUGCAGUAAUGCUGUGGGCGUUCGUCCAAGCUCAGGAACGAGUGGAAUGUACCCCUUCUCCAAGGUGAAAGACUGCAUAGACAUAUGUUUUCCACGGUGACUGGCAUUAGCUGAUGGAGAGCUGACAACACCUUGGCAAGCAGGGAAUAAUAAGUGCCCCCAGAGCGCCGUUCGCUUGUUGCUGUCGCCUUCUAAAACCUUUCGCUUUGAAGCCGUCGUGCUGCUUACAUAUUUAGCAGCUGGAAAAAUCAGGCCUGCUUGUUUACCUCGUCCUCCCCAGCAGGAAAAAUGCCGAGAAGAAAUAGCUCAUUAAUAAUAUUAAAGAGACUUAAGCAUUAAUAAAGGCCAAAAUGAAGAACUUGGAGCAAAGUGUUUCUUUAGUGUUACCUAAAAAGCAGCUCUGGUGUGUGGAUAGGUCCCCUUUUAAAACAUUUAAACAUUAAUAAAUUGGACUAUGAACAAUAGAAUAUAAAUGAAACCUGGGGUGAUUUAUUUUAGGCAACUCAUUUGCCCAUGUAAUUUUAUGAACGAUACUUAUUUUUCAGAAGUCCAAAUUACUGU